AAUUCUGUUGUAAAUCUAGGAGUCAUGAAAGUAAUGGAAUCGAAGCUGGAGAAGAUCUAAGAAUGUUGUGGGGUUCUUGGAGUACAGCCAAGCUUUUCAUGGCUCUUGGUAGACUAAGCUUGGGGUACUCCAGUCCCGGAAACUCAAGGGCCACCAAAGCCACCCCAAGCAAGUGACUUCAGUUAUUGUCUCAAGACUAUGAAGAAAUGAAGAGCAAGGGCAAGAAAGAGCAAAGAAGGUCUUCUCUAUUUCUUGUCCCUGAUCCUACAAACUCAACACCUCACUGAUGGGGACCCUUAUUCCUGCUGAAUCAGGUUGGCUGAGGGAAGAGAAGAAAAGGGUUCUGCUGUGACAACCACAUCUCAAGGCAUUAAACGCCUCUGAAUAAAUGAGGGAGAAGGUUUGAGGUCGUUCCAUGGCCUUCUCAUGCUAGCUGCUGGGAAAUACAUGAUCAAAACAGGAACCUGUGGAAGACAUUUCCGAUGCAAACCAUGACAAGAUGAACUCCUUUUGUGUAAGAGGAUGACCUUGGAAGCCCAAGGCAACCAGGAAGAAAGAAGUGAAUCUGGAGUGCCUAGCAGUUCUUCACAGAAGGCAGACUGGAGCUCAGGAUAAAAUGGAGGACCCUGACAAAGAAGUCGAAUUAAUCUGAAUAGGACCAAUGGAGACUGGACAGAGUUAAAUCCUUUAACAGUAGGAGACUUCAUUUACAUCCAGCAGUCCUGUUGUUCUAAAAGAAGAGCCCUUUAUAAUGGAAAACAUUCUUGCUCUUCCCUGGCGAUGUUUGGAGUCCUUAUUCUAUCCUUUCUCAUCUUCAGCUCUUUAAUUGCCCCCUCCCCUUCCCUGCUCCCUCCUCCUCUAACCCGUCCCCCUUUCUUCUUAACUGGUUUUGGCUUUUUAUACUUAGAUUAAUUUGUUUACCGAGACCUGGGGAGAAUGAGAGCUCACUUAUGGGUAAGAACAGACUUCCUUUCCCAGUGUACAGAAAGAUUGAAAUCCCUGACCUCCCCCUGCUGCCCUGGUAGAGGCUGAGAGCCAAGAAAGAGAACUUCUGAAAUCUUCCCAAAUCCAAACUAAUGAAAAUCUGAGGAAGUGAGGGGAGGGGAAGGAAGGGGUGUCUGUGUGUGAGUGUACAAGUGCACACAGACUGCAAGUCUCUGCUGAAAUCUUACAAGCACUGAUACAAAGAUGAGGGAGGGUAGAAGGAAUCACGCAGGUACUUUGAGGUAAGGAGGAUAGCUUGAACUGAACAUAUGUUUCCAAUUAGGCAAUGUUGGUACUCAAAAGUUCAUAUUCCCGGGAACUGGGAGUCUGAAAUGAAAGUCUAAGGUAAGCCAAGUCAUCGCUCUAAAUUUUAAUUUAUUAAAAUGAGCACAUUUAUAUUUUGUCAUAGUUAUUUUUGGAGAAGUACAAAGUAGAUCAUUUUUGUGCUAGUGUUUGGGGAGCUAUGUGAUAGUACAUACACCGUUGGGCAGUAAGUUAUCAUCUGUGAGAGGCCAAUCAUAACGAUUAAAUGGUUUUCAUAAGAAUUUAGGGAGAUAUCAGAGCCAGGUAUAAAAAAAAAAAGCAUACUCAGUAUAUUCUCUUAGGUUUUGGUUUUCUUGACUAUGGGAACCAUACAGACCUAGUUUGUGUUAUUGACUCUU